CUUAACCAGACAGCUUUGAAAUUAUUUGUUUCUUGACAUACAUUUUAAAAGGUGGGAGAAUUCAGACAAAAUAAAUGAGGUUUUAAUAAUAUUUAAGAUUUCAUAAAUAUUACCUUGCAUAUUUAAAAUACUGACAAAUGCUUUUACACCGCACUAGUUUUGCCACACCAUCUCCACCAUUAAGCAUCAUUAUUUUAAUUUUUUUCCCUAAACAAAUAGGUCUUCUAACUAUCCUUUUUGCAGCUCCAAGACUGUGGGAUCUAUGUGUGAAGCAGAAAAGGAGGAGACAAUGUAAGAACACCGGGAGAGCCGUGACCUCAGCCUCAGCUGAGCGUGGCUGGACCAGGCAGCAGCAGGCUGGCACCGGCUGUGUUCACAGCACCGUCACUGCUCACUCAGGAGCUCUGGAACUCAGAUCUGCCCCUUCCUUCAUUGUCCAAACACUUUUCGAGCACUGACUGAAGGCAGCAGGCCUGGCCUUGGGGCGGGGAACCUACUCCACUCCACCUGUGACACCUGCCGUGGGGCUUGGGAGUUUGCAGGUCGUGGUGCUGGUUGGGAUGCAGGCACCAAGAAGGGUUCCCACCGUCAUCACACUUGAAAGCAAACUGCACCAGCCUGGCCCCCGCCCCACUCCCUACACAUACCAGUUUCCCGGGCUCCAGGCUGUGGGGAAGUCUAGGCGACGUGCAGAGGUCCUAUGUGGAUGCUCAGGCCAGCAGCCCCGCCGAGGGCCCAGCUGUCAGCCAGCAUCGGCGACCAGGCCUAAGUAAAGAAGCCUUCUGCUGAUUUCAGCCCAACCACCAUCGGACUACACGACAUAAAAGAGCCUGAAUGGGAAGCUCUAGCUGA